rnacentral:misc_RNA from 1 species
GAUGAAGAACGUAGCGAAAUGCGAUACUUGGUGUGAAUUGCAGAAUCCCGUGAACCAUCGAGUCUUUGAACGCGAGUUGCGCCCGAAGCCAUUAGGCCGAGGGCACGCCUGCCUGGGUGUCACACACCGUUACCCUCGCGCCAACGUCCAUCGUUGGCCGCGGCGCGGGGCGUGUGCUGACCUCCCGCGAGCGGGGUCUCGUGGUUGGUUGAAAAUCGAGUUCGCGGUCGAGGGUGCCGUGAUGAAAUGGUGGAUGGGCGACGCCCGAGGCCAAUCACGCGCGACUCCGUCCGGCUCGGACUCCUGGACCCCUUCGGCGUCUCCGGACGCUCUUUGGCGAGACCUCAGGUCAGGCGGGGCUACCCGCUGAGUUUAAGCAUAUCAAUAAGCGGAGGA